GAUGAAGAACGCAGCGAAAUGCGAUAAGUAAUGUGAAUUGCAGAAUUCAGUGAAUCAUCGAAUCUUUGAACGCACAUUGCGCCCGCCAGUAUUCUGGCGGGCAUGCCUGUUCGAGCGUCAUUUCAACCCUCAAGCCCCCGGGCUUGGUGUUGGGGAUCGGCGUGCCCUCGCGGCGCGCCGUCCCCUAAAUCUAGUGGCGGUCUCGCUGUAUCUUCCUCUGCGUAGUAGCAACACUCGCACUGGAUCGCAGCGCGGCCACGCCGUUAAACCCCCCACUUCUGAAAGUUUGACCUCGGAUCAGGUAGGAAUACCCGCUGAACUUAAGCAUAUCAAUAAGCGGAGGA
rnacentral:misc_RNA from 1 species